GAAAAAAGAACGAACGCUGGGGGCAUGCCUUAAUACAUGACAAGUCGAACGGAGACCUUCGGGUCUAGUGGCGCACGGGUGCGUAACGCGUGGGAAUCUGCCCUUGGGUUCGGAAUAACUUCGGUGAAAUGGAAGCUAAUACCGGAUGAUGACGUAAGUCCAAAGAUUUAUCGCCCAAGGAUGAGCCCGCGUAGGAUUAGCUAGUUGGGUGAAGGUAAAGGCUUCACCAAGGCUACGAUCCUUAGCUGGUCUGAGAGGAUGAUCAGCCACACUGGGAACUGAGACCACGGCCCAGAACUCCUACGGGAGGCAGCAGUAGGGAAUAUUGGACAAUGGGGGCAACCCUGAUCCAGCAAUGCCGCGUGAGUGAUGAAGGCCUUAGGGUUGUAAAGCUCUUUUACCCGAGAUGAUAAUGACAGUAUCGGGAGAAUAAGCUCCGGCUAACUCCGUGCCAGCAGCCGCGGUAAUACGGAGGGAGCCUAGCGUUGUUCGGAAUUACUGGGCGUAAAGCGCACGUAGGCGGCGAUUUAAGUCAGAGGUGAAAGCCCGGGGCUCAACCCCGGAACUGCCUUUGAGACUGGAUUGCUAGAAUCUUGGAGAGGCGGGUGGAAUUCCGAGUGUAGAGGUGAAAUUCGUAGAUAUUCGGAAGAACACCAGUUGGCGAAGGCCGGCCCCGCUGGGACAAGUUAUUGACGCUGAGGUGCGAAAGCGUGGGGAGCAAACAGGAUUAGAUAUCCCUGGUAGUCCACGCCGUAAACGAUGAUAACUUAGCUGCCCGGGGCACAUGGGGUUUCGGUGGCGCAGCUAUACGCAUUAAGUUAUCCCCCUGGGGAGU
rnacentral:rRNA from 1 species